rnacentral:rRNA from 1 species
UACGAAGGGGGGCUAGCGUUGCUCGGAAUCACUGGGCGUAAAGCGCACGCAGGCGGAUCGUUAAGUCAGGGGUGAAAUGCCGAGGCUCAACCUCGGAACUGCCUUUGAUACUGGCGAUCUUAGAGUCCGGGAGAGGUGAGUGGAACUGCGAGUGUAGAGGUGAAAUUCGUAGAUAUUCGCAAGAACACCAGUGGCGAAGGCGGCUCACUGGCCCGAUACUGACGCUGAGGCACGAAAGCGUGGGGAGCAAACAGG